GCAACUCCGGUCAGUGGCCGGACGGGUGAGUAACGCGUAGGUAUCUAUCUCCGGGUGGGGGACAACGGUUGGAAACGACUGCUAAUACCGCAUGACGCCCGAGGGCCAAAGCAGCGAUGCGCCUGGAGAGGAGCCUGCGUACGAUUAGCUUGUUGGCGGGGUAACAGCCCACCAAGGCGACGAUCGUUAGCUGGUCUGAGAGGAUGAUCAGCCACACUGGGACUGAGACACGGCCCAGACUCCUACGGGAGGCAGCAGUGGGGAAUAUUGGACAAUGGGCGCAAGCCUGAUCCAGCAAUGCCGCGUGAGUGAAGAAGGUCUUCGGAUUGUAAAGCUCUUUCGACGGGGACGAUGAUGACGGUACCCGUAGAAGAAGCCCCGGCUAACUUCGUGCCAGCAGCCGCGGUAAUACGAAGGGGGCUA
rnacentral:rRNA from 1 species